rnacentral:rRNA from 1 species
ACCGCUCAGUAACACGUAGUCAACCUAACCUAUGGACGGGAAUAACCUCGGGAAACUGAGAAUAAUGCCCGAUAGAACACUAUACCUGGAAUGGUUUGUGUUCCAAAUGAUUUAUCGCCAUAGGAUGGGACUGCGGCCUAUCAGUUUGUUGGUGAGGUAAUGGCCCACCAAGACUAUUACAGGUACGGGCUCUGAGAGGGGUAGCCCGGAGAUGGGUACUGAGACACGGACCCAGGCCCUAUGGGGCGCAGCAGGCGAGAAAACUUUGCAAUGUGCGAAAGCACGACAAGGUUAAUCCGAGUGAUUUGUGCUAAACGAAUCUUUUGUUAGUCCUAGAAACACUAACGAAUAAGGGGUGGGCAAGUUCUGGUGUCAGCCGCCGCGGUAAAACCAGCACCUCAAGUGGUCAGGAUGAUUAUUGGGCCUAAAGCAUCCGUAGCCGGCUCUGUAAGUUUUCGGUUAAAUCUGUACGCUCAACGUACAGGCUGCCGGGAAUACUGCAGAACUAGGGAGUGGGAGAGGUAGACGGUACUCGGUAGGAAGUGGUAAAAUGCUUUGAUCUAUCGAUGACCACCUGUGGCGAAGGCGGUCUACCAGAACACGUCCGACGGUGAGGGAUGAAAGCUGGGGGAGCAAACCGGAUUAGAUACCCGGGUAGUCCCAGCUGUAAACUAUGCAAACUCAGUGAUGCAUUGGCUUGUGGCCAAUGCAGUGCUGCAGGGAAGCCGUUAAGUUUGCCGCCUGGGAAGUACGUACGCAAGUAUGAAACUUAAAGGAAUUGGCGGGGGAGCACCACAAGGGGUGAAGCCUGCGGUUCAAUUGGAAUCAACGCCGGU